CAUUUGCUACUAUCAGCCUUUGAGUGCAAAUCAACCACAAAUAAUUGUAGUGCAGACACCCUGGCAAAAAGAUAUACUGAAAGAACAUCCCCAUACCAUGGUAUUCAUGGACGCUACUUACAAGGCCAUGACAUCGUAUGGUUAUGCAUUUUAUACACUUCUCUUGACCAACUCUAUCGGAAGAGCAGUCCCAUUCGCUUACUUUAUUAUUAGUGAGGAAUCAGCGGACAUACUUGCUCUUUGUUUGGAAAAGCUUGCAAAACACAACCCUGGAUUUCUUCCCAGGUCGAUAAUGAUUGACCGUGACCUUAAGGAACUCAAUGCCAUCAGAAGAGUUUUUCCUACAGCCAAGGUUCUUCUUUGUUGGUUUCAUGUACUCCAGGCUGUGCAUAGAUGGAUGGUCAGAAGAGAUGGAGGGAACUUGCCAGUGAAUCAACGAAAUAUCCCCC